GCCAGGUGUGGUGGUGCAUGCCUGUAAUCCCAGCUACUCAGGAGGCUGAGGCAGGAGAAUCACUUGAACUCAGGAGGUGGAGGUUGCAGUGAGCCAAGAUCAUGCCACUGCACUCCAGCCUGGGUGACAGAGUGAGACUUUGUCUCAA
rnacentral:SRP_RNA from 1 species